rnacentral:pre_miRNA from 1 species
CUAUUACUCCCUCCGUUCGGAAUUACUUGUCGCGAAAAUGGAUGUAUCUAGAACUAAAAUACGUCUAGAUACAUCCAUUUCUGCGACAAGUAAUUCCGAACGGAGGGAGUAUUUC